rnacentral:rRNA from 1 species
CGAACGAGAAAGUUCCUUCGGGAGCGAUUAAAGUGGCGCACGGGUGAGUAACGCGUAGACAAUCUGCCCUUCAGUCUGGGACAACUUUUCGAAAGGAGAGCUAAUACCGGAUAACAAUGUUUAACCUAAGUUAAGUAUUUGAAAGCUUUAUGUGCUGAAGGAGGGGUCUGCGUCCCAUUAGCUAGUUGGUAAGGUAAAGGCUUACCAAGGCGACGAUGGGUAGCGGGUUUGAGAGGACGAUCCGCCACACUGGAACUGAGACACGGUCCAGACUCCUACGGGAGGCAGCAGUGGGGAAUAUUGCACAAUGGAGGCAACUCUGAUGCAGCAAUGUCGCGUGAGUGAAGAAGGCCCUUGGGUCGUAAAGCUCUUUUAUGGGGGAAGAUGAUGACGGUACCCCAAGAAUAAGCACCGGCUAACUAUGUGCCAGCAGCCGCGGUAAUACAUAGGGUGCGAGCGUUGUUCGGAAUUACUGGGCGUAAAGGGCGCGCAGGCGGAAUAGUAAGUCGGAGGUGAAAGCCCGGGGCUCAACCCCGGAGGGUCUUUCGAAACUGCUAAUCUAGAGAGGGUCAGGGGCCGGCAGAAUUCCUGGUGUAGAGGUGAAAUUCGUAGAUAUCAGGAGGAAUACCGGUGGCGAAAGCGGCCGGCUGGGACCACUCUGACGCUGAGGCGCGAAAGCGUGCGGAGCAAACAGGAUUAGAUACCCUGGUAGUCCACGCCGUAAACGAUGAGCACUGGACGUCCGGAGGGUUCGACCCUUCUGGGUGUUUCAGCUAACGCAUUAAGUGCUCCGGCUGGGGAGUACGGUCGCAA